rnacentral:rRNA from 1 species
UCUACAACCCUUUGUGAACAUACCUAUAACUGUUGCUUCGGCGGGUAGGGUCUCCGCGACCCUCCCGGCCUCCCGCCUCCGGGCGGGUCGGCGCCCGCCGGAGGAUAACCAAACUCUGAUUUAACGACGUUUCUUCUGAGUGGUACAAGCAAAUAAUCAAAACUUUUAACAACGGAUCUCUUGGUUCUGGCAUCGAUGAAGAACGCAGCGAAAUGCGAUAAGUAAUGUGAAUUGCAGAAUUCAGUGAAUCAUCGAAUCUUUGAACGCACAUUGCGCCCGCCAGCAUUCUGGCGGGCAUGCCUGUUCGAGCGUCAUUUCAACCCUCAAGCUCUGCUUGGUGUUGGGGCCCUACAGCUGAUGUAGGCCCUCAAAGGUAGUGGCGGACCCUCUCGGAGCCUCCUUUGCGUAGUAACUUUACGUCUCGCACUGGGAUCCGGAGGGACUCUUGCCGUAAAACCCCCAAUUUUCCAAAGGUUGACCUCGGAUCAGGUAGGAAUACCCGCUGAACUUAAGCUAAUCAAUAAGCCCGGAGGAA